GGGGCGUUAGCUCAGUUGGGAGAGCACCUGCUUUGCAAGCAGGGGGUCAUCGGUUCGAGCCCGAUACGCUCCA
rnacentral:tRNA from 4 species